rnacentral:miRNA from 1 species
AUUUAGCGAGCUGAGUGGGGAGGAGAGAGGGACAGAGAGCCUGUUUGCUUUAAAGGAACCAACUGGACAGGAGCCGCUUACACUCGUGUAAGCGGCUCCUCUCCUCUCCCGCUUUGCUCCUUUAAAAAAGCAGGCUCUCUGUCCCUCUCUCCUCCCCACUCCGCGGCUCUUCUC